CUUUCUGUAGCUGGGAGACACAGAUGCGUGAAGCUUUCCCGUGCUGGUACUCCCAGGUACAGAGGCUCAUGGGAUAAAGACACUGGUCACCGGAGGUGGGAAACCCUGAGGAUGGGUGGCGGAAGCUGGGGACAAAGGAUCUAGUGUUCCUGUCACCUGCCCAUGCCCCUGGGAGAAGACACAGAAUGGCAGGAACAGGGUCAAAGGUUCUAGUUCCGUUAUGUGACCCUUGGGAGGGGACAUUGUCUUUUAGUGUGUUCCACCCCUUGCAUAGGGAAAGUAUAAAGCUGAGUGUGGCCAAUAAAG